rnacentral:lncRNA from 1 species
UGAAAUUUUAUCACUUUUAAGGAAUUUAAACUAUUAUGUGUUUUCUAUCAUACUUGAGAGGAUUCCUAUAAUUUAAUAGUUAAUUGAUUAUUUUCUGUUUAUAAGUUGGGGAAAAUGAGAUAUAAAAGAAGCAAGAGCCUUAGAUUUACAAUUCCAGAUAUAAAAUCAAAUAUACUAUCUGGUAUAUUUAGACACUAGGUGUUUCAAGUAACUAAUAAAAAUUAUGAAAUAUGUUAGUGCAGGGUCCUUGUUCUUGAGCCAUGAAAUCUACCCUAAAAUGAAGUG